AAGAAUUGCAUCCACUACAAGCAACGCAGUGACAUGCUUUGAGAUGACAAGCCUACUGCUAAAGGUCUGGAGACAUAUGACCUGGAACAUAGAAAGGCCUACUACUAAAGGUCUGGAGACAUAUGACCUGGAACAUAGAAAGGCCUACUACUAAAGGUCUGGAGACAUAUGACCUGGAACAUAGAAAGGCCUACUACUAAAGGUCUGGAGACAUAUGACCUGGAACAUAGAAAGGCCUACUACUAAAGGUCUGGAGACAUAUGACCUGGAACAUAGAAAGGCCUACUACUAAAGGUCUGGAGACAUAUGACCUGGAACAUAGAAAGGCCUACUACUAAAGGUCUGGAGACAUAUAACCUGGAACAUAGAAAUACUGUUAAAGUGUGCAAAGAGUUGUGUGCCAUCUUAUUUCUUCAUGUGACAGUAGGUUUGAUCCCUCAAAGUAACACAGUCCCUUACACAGAAUGACCGAUCUCUCUUGGUGUUCAGAGGCUGACAUUGUAAUCUAGCACCAUUUGAAAUCGGUUAUGACAGAGGGCAAAUGGCAACUGCAGCAACUGAACAAUAUACAGUAAAUGUGAACAAAACAUUUAACCUACUGGAUUUCAUUCUGUGAUGUAUUUUUUGUGUGUCCUUGUACAUUUUACUACAAGUCAUUUAAUAAAGAAAAUACACGUUA